rnacentral:rRNA from 1 species
UACGGGGGGGGCAAGCGUUGUUCGGAAUUACUGGGCGUAAAGGGCUCGUAGGCGGCCAACUAAGUCAGACGUGAAAUCCCUCGGCUUAACCGGGGAACUGCGUCUGAUACUGGAUGGCUUGAGUUUGGGAGAGGGAUGCGGAAUUCCAGGUGUAGCGGCGAAAUGCGUAGAUAUCUGGAGGAACACCGGUGGCGAAGGCGGCAUCCUGGACCAACACUGACACUGAUGAGCGAAAGCCAGGGGAGCAAACGGG